rnacentral:rRNA from 1 species
GAUGAACGCUGGCGGCGUGCCUAAUACAUGCAAGUCGAGCGAACGGACGAGAAGCUUGCUUCUCUGAUGUUAGCGGCGGAUGGGUGAGUAACACGUGGAUAACCUACCUAUAAGACUGGGAUAACUUCGGGAAACCGGAGCUAAUACCGGAUGAUAUUUUGAACCGCAUGGUUCAAAAGUGAAAGACGGUCUUGCUGUCACUUAUAGAUGGAUCCGCGCUGCAUUAGCUAGUUGGUAAGGUAACGGCUUACCAAGGCAACGAUGCAUAGCCGACCUGAGAGGGGGAUGGGCCCCACUGGACUGGAGCCCGGGUCCAGACCCCUAGGGGGGGCACCAGUGGGGAAUCUUCCAAAAUGGGCGAAGUCCUGACGGAGCAACGCCGCGGGAGGAAUAAGGUUCUUCGGAUCAUAAACCUUUUUUAUUGGGAAAAAAAAUAUGUGAAAGUACCUGUGCACAUCGUGACGGUACCUAAUAAAAAAGCCACGCCUAACUACGUG